rnacentral:tRNA from 1 species
AGAGAUUUAAGUUAACCAGACUAAGGGCCUUCAAAGCCCUAAGCAGGAGUUAGAAUCUCCUAAUCUCUG